UUAGGAUAAGUUAUAUACAAUAUGUUGUUUCAUUUAUUAUCUUAAAUCAGACAUGAUGUAAAGAAAGUUAGAACCUUCUCAUUAAUUCAGCCGUACUCUUUAGAACCAAUUCUAUUUCAGUUGAGUAGGCCCUCUGUUCUCUUCACCACGUAUAGAGGCAGAUGUCAGUCACAGAGAUUCCAGGAAAAGCAAAGCUCCAUGUGACAGAAGCCACCAUAAACACAGAUAAGCAUUUCGUGGGGACAGAGCACCCUGCGAGCCAUGAAGAUUCCAGAGCUACAAAACCAGGACUGAGGUCAGCCAGAGCCCAGCCCGCCAGGGGCCAGCCUGAUCUUUGUCAACUCCUCAGGUUAGUGUCCCUUACCAUUUUUCCUACUUUACAACUUAAGCUUUUUUCUGUAAAUUAGUGCCUUAGUUUUAACUUCCAUCAUCACUAAACCAAGGACAACAAAUUGAAAAGCUUCCUUCUAGCAUGGGACGGCAGUGGUCUAUGAUCUCAGCAAGCCAAGGAGUGGGUUCAAGAAAAGAAGAAAAUUUGGAGAG
ensembl:lncRNA